rnacentral:lncRNA from 1 species
UUUCUUUUUGGCAGAGCUGUAGCCGGCUUGGCUUAACUGUUUGCCUCUGAGCUCGUCUAUAGCGCUCUGCGGCAGCGUUACUCUGGUUCUUCUGUUUACUUUCCACUUCUCAGCCGCUGCUUUUCUAGGAGCGUGCCUGGGGCGCUCUGCCGUGCAAGGCGAACGCUGUACUGGUUUGUGGCUUCCCGAAGCCCUUUGCCGGUGCCACGGCAUCUUGGAAGCUGCUGGGACCUGAAGGAUAAGCCGGCUGCCUUUCAGCAGCAGCUUCGUGAAAGCGGGCCGAGGCGAUCAUCCGCCUUCGCUGGGGAAAUAAAAAGGGCGAAAGCCAUCUCUUAACUCGCUAAGGUCUUCAGUACACGCCAGCGGUGGCCCCUGUGCGUCGUCCCGCGUGCUCGCGCCUGAAUGGGGUAAGGGCAGUGACGGCACCGGGUUCGCUUCGGCCGGCGGGCGCGGAAGGGGGUCCGCGCUCCCAUGGCGGGAGGAGUAUGUGCGUGGUGGAGGUCUGGCGGUAUCUGCAGCCGGGCCCCAUCUCUGGCAGGGAGCAGUUCGAACACACUCACUCUCACGAAAAGCCCGCAUGGGCCACGGUUGGCUCCGGGCAACUCUACGCUCGGCUGAGCCCGUGCUCCGCGGGCGCUCGCCCCGGCACAGCACCACCCGACCCGACCCCCUCCCACCAUCGCACAGGAGAAAGAGUAGCACAGCAGAUGGGUCGAUGGGCGGGGCACACACAAAGGAAAAAUACAUUUCCUUCCCUAGCCGUGCCUGAGCGCUCAGCGAUAACCGCGCCGCGGCGGCUGCAGAAGGAGAGAGGUUGGUCUCCACCCGUAUCGUGCCGACUCUCCCACGAGAAACGUGGGGACCCAAUCCCCUGGCACCCACUUAACAGCAUUUCAAGCUCCUUCUCGAGACUGUGGGUGGCUCUGAAAAGAGCCUUUGGGGUUCGCUUCAGUGCGCGGGAAGUUUAUCCGCACCCGGUUUACUUGCUCUUGGCUUUAUGGCUCUCAGUCUUCUUGGGCAGCAGCACGGCCUGGAUGUUGGGCAGCACGCCGCCCUGCGCGAUCGUCACCUUGCCCAGCAGCUUGUUGAGCUCCUCGUCGUUGCGGAUGGCGAGCUGCAGGUGCCGCGGGAUAAUGCGCGUCUUCUUGUUGUCGCGAGCCGCGUUGCCUGCCAGCUCCAGGAUCUCGGCCGUCAGGUACUCCAGCACGGCCGCCAGGUACACCGGCGCGCCGGCGCCCACCCGCUCCGCGUAGUUGCCCUUGCGCAGCAGUCGGUGGACGCGGCCCACGGGGAACUGCAGCCCGGCCCGCGACGAGCGCGACUUGGCCUUGGCGCGCGCCUUCCCGCCCUGCUUCCCGCGCCCGGACAUCUUCGCUCGCUGAGUCGCUCAGCCGCUCCUAAAACCUUGUCGCUAACGUAGCCGACAAGGUUUUAGGAGCGGCUGAGCGACUCAGCGAGCGAAGAUGUCCGGGCGCGGGAAGCAGGGCGGGAAGGCGCGCGCCAAGGCCAAGUCGCGCUCGUCGCGGGCCGGGCUGCAGUUCCCCGUGGGCCGCGUCCACCGACUGCUGCGCAAGGGCAACUACGCGGAGCGGGUGGGCGCCGGCGCGCCGGUGUACCUGGCGGCCGUGCUGGAGUACCUGACGGCCGAGAUCCUGGAGCUGGCAGGCAACGCGGCUCGCGACAACAAGAAGACGCGCAUUAUCCCGCGGCACCUGCAGCUCGCCAUCCGCAACGACGAGGAGCUCAACAAGCUGCUGGGCAAGGUGACGAUCGCGCAGGGCGGCGUGCUGCCCAACAUCCAGGCCGUGCUGCUGCCCAAGAAGACUGAGAGCCAUAAAGCCAAGAGCAAGUAAACCGGGUGCGGAUAAACUUCCCGCGCACUGAAGCGAACCCCAAAGGCUCUUUUCAGAGCCACCCACAGUCUCGAGAAGGAGCUUGAAAUGCUGUUAAGUGGGUGCCAGGGGAUUGGGUCCCCACGUUUCUCGUGGGAGAGUCGGCACGAUACGGGUGGAGACCAACCUCUCUCCUUCUGCAGCCGCCGCGGCGCGGUUAUCGCUGAGCGCUCAGGCACGGCUAGGGAAGGAAAUGUAUUUUUCCUUUGUGUGUGCCCCGCCCAUCGACCCAUCUGCUGUGCUACUCUUUCUCCUGUGCGAUGGUGGGAGGGGGUCGGGUCGGGUGGUGCUGUGCCGGGGCGAGCGCCCGCGGAGCACGGGCUCAGCCGAGCGUAGAGUUGCCCGGAGCCAACCGUGGCCCAUGCGGGCUUUUCGUGAGAGUG